GACGAACGCUGGCGGCAUGCCUAAUACAUGCAAGUCGGGCGAACAGAUGAAGUGCUUGCACUUCUGACGUUAGCGGCGAACGGGUGAGUAACACGUAAGGAAUCUACCUAUAAGCGGGGGAUAACAUUCGGAAACGGGUGCUAAUACCGCAUAAUAUCUUCUUCCGCAUGGAAGAAGAUUGAAAGACGGCUCUGCUGUCACUUAUAGAUGACCUUGCGGUGCAUUAGUUAGUUGGUGGGGUAACGGCCUACCAAGACGAGGAUGCAUAGCCGACCUGGGAGGGUGAUCGGCGACAUUGGGACUGGGACACGGCCCAAACUCCUACGGGAGGCAGCAGUAGGGAAUCUUCCGCAAUGGGCGAAAGCCUGACGGAGCAAUGCCGCGUGAGUGAAGAAGGCCUUCGGGUCGUAAAACUCUGUUAUAAGAGAAGAACAAAUUGUAGAGUAACUGCUACAGUCUUGACGGUACCUUAUCAGAAAGCCACGGCUAACUACGUGCCAGCAGCCGCCGUAA
rnacentral:rRNA from 1 species